rnacentral:rRNA from 1 species
GACGAAGGGUGCGGGUGUUAUUCGUUUUGAUUGGGUGUAAAGGGUACGUAGGUGGUUGUGGAUUUUUUUGGCGCAAAACGCGGGGUGUUCCCACGCGAUCUGCCUUUUAAAGAAACAGCUUGAGAUGAGGAUAGGUUUGGGCAAAUUUGCGCGUAGGGGUUGAAUCCUUUAAGACGUGAAUGAACUCUAACAGGCGAAGGCACCUUUCUCGAUUCAUCUGACGCUAAGGUACGGAAGCUUAGGUAGCAAACGGG